UUAACGACAUUUUCAAAAUGUUGUUUUGCGCAUACGCAUUUUGGUUGAUACAUGUACAUGUACUUAUUUAACUUUCUUUUAUUAAAAUAAUUCUUUGAUAACCUCAUAACGUGUGUCCACCUUUGCUAGUAGAUUCACUAAACAAUUUUGAAAUUAUUUACCUGUUUAUAAAUUUAACACCACACUACGAGUUGGAGAUCUUAAGCACAAUUAACGCCUUUUUAAUUUCACAAUAAAUGGAAGACAACGAGAACAUUUGUACUGCUAUGAAUAUACUCGUAGUACCAUUUGUAGCAUAACGAAAAACACCAUUCUCGUUGACAAAUAAAAAAAGAUUGAACAUAAUUCGUUUCCGUUUUAAUUUAACAACACAUUAACUACUAAAACAGUUUCGGCACAGACCCUUUACGAGAUUUAUUUAAAGUUACAGUUAUGCGUGUAAGUACAACCAUAAUUAUGAUUUAUGUCAUUGCGUAAUCGAUACUAUUCAGAACCACUUGUAGUCGUAUUUUAAAAUGACGGUAGCGUCUCGACGUAGUUAACGUAAAAAGUAAUAAACUUUUCUAAUGGUUAUGAUUUAUAAUGCAUUUAAUUUCGUUUUCCUUAAUUGCAAAGCUCUUGUGACAUUUGAAUUAAGGAACUUGAUUCGGACGCUCGGUAUUGUUUUUAAAGAUGUGCAGUGCGUACAAAUUUUUGUAAUAAUUUAGUUUCUGUGGUGCCUUUCCAUUUCGCGUAAUCUAUGGACGGAUUAUCGGAAAAAUACAAACGUGUGUACAAACCAAAAUAGAUGUUUGCACAUAAACUUACUUUGAAAACAGUUUUCAUCUUUGAAGUAUGGACGUAAAUCAACUCUCCUUUCGCUGACACGGUGUGGUAAGUCAAAGAACGCGGUUUAAAUAUGUUUUGAAUGGAAUAAAUCAAUUUAUUGCAUCCUUUCAAGACCUGCAUUUAUCUCUGGGACCGCCUUACGCAUUCCUUAAUUAAGCUUGUUAAAGGUAGUGUAAAUAACCGCUCUCGAGGUGACGUAAUGUGGAAGGCUAUUAUUCCGAUCUCUCGUCAUCGGUAUUGCACGUUUUCUUUAAUAUCGAAUUUAUUACCGGUGUUUUUGUAUUAAAAGGUGGAUGUGUGUUACCGACUUUCCGGUAGUAUUUCCUCAUUAAGGUGAUUCACUUGUUGAUUAAAAAUUACCUUGUUGUUAGCAAUGAUUGUUAUGUUUUACCUUAUCGUUGAAUUUAUUCUAAUUUGUAUAGUUUUUAGCACGGAAGUGCCUAUACAUUGUCCUCAUUAUUAUUGCGGCGGCGAUCAGAAACAGGUGCGAUAAUAGAGGAAACUUGACGUAUACAGACGACUUGAAAAUAUGAAGUUUUGAAAGAGUGGACGAAUUUAUGAAACGAAACAUCUAAUUUUAUGGUCCAUUUUUUAAUAUUAUGUCAAAUAAUAUUUUGGGUUGGUAGUUAGGUAGGUAUGUAUACUGAAUAUUUACAUGUGUUAUAAAUCACUCUCAUUAGCGGCGGCGUUUUCAAAAAGCCUCGCGAGCAAGAAACGAUCACAAUGAAAUAUUUGUUGUGAUACUAUUUUGUUGAUUGAUAUAUGCGCAAAUACUUUUCUAUCGAUCCUGGGUGGCCAUCGUCCGAUAUAACCGGAUUGUAUCGAACAAAUUUCAAACCCAUUUGGCUUCGUAUAGUUGGAAAUUAGUAGUUCAUUGGUUUCGGCUCUAAUUGUGUGCAAUAUGUUCUUUCUUCAUAAAAUUAACCAAUCCAAUCGUUAAAAGACGAUACAAUUUUUAUUUGUAUUUGACUUCAGUGGGCAUCGCCAAAAGUUUAUAUGCCGAUCGAAAAGCGUGCCACACAGAAAAAAAGCUAAAACACUGUAACACAACAUACGAGUAUAAAUAACUUCAAUUUCUCGUGUUUUUUAGAUACCUUGAAACAACGAAUCGCGCCGUCUUUCUAAUUGCGACGUUGCCAGGUUACUAUUUGGGUUAGGCCAAAACGGUCAAGCGCAUAUUGAAUUUCCUUGCAAAAGUAGGCAAAGAAGGUGAACGUCUUUUCCGAAUAUUCGUAUAGAUAAAUUAACGAUUCAAACAUCCAAAUUGAAACACCUUGUACACUGGCAUAAAUAAUAUUUAAGAUUUACAUGCCACGGAUAGGAAUAGCUUGCAGUAUCUACUAUAUUGGAAUUCACAUUCAAAUGGCAGCGUGAUAGAGAUUUUGUAAUGUUUUUUCAUGCGACAAUGUUGUCAAAGUUAGACGAUCGUGUUAUAUCGAUGUCAGCAGGUAUAGUAAAAUUCAAAAACGGUGAAGUGUUAAAUUGCAAAUGCAAGCAGUGUUACAUGUUUUUAACUAUUUGUCCACUAGUAACUAUAAUUAGUAAAACUUACAAUUACAGUAGGAUUGGCAACGCUGUAUACUAGGGUAAUGCCAUUGAAUGUGAAUUCCACUAUAAAAUAUUUGCAAUUGCUCCCUGCGAGCAAAAAUAAAUGCGCGAGGGACUAGAGGGAUAGACUGAGCGUAUAUUUUCAGUUUCUCUUGCAUUGCAUCGACUGUACACCACAUUCCUUAUAUGUGCUUAUACUAAAGAUAUGCAGUUCAUACACCUCUUACUAUCUUACACCGCGGCUACUUCUGAUUGGUCAGAGGGAUAGGUUAGCCGGUUAGCGCAUAAAGCUGAGAAGAUGCCGAGGAAAGAGACAAACACAUUAACCAUAAAAAUACUAAUAUAAUUUCCACCACAAUAAAUUAAUGUGACUUCAUGCCAAACACAGCCAAACAGCCAAAGUGAAUACUUUUUUUCAAAAACGCGCUAAACACCUAAGAAAUCGUGAAGUUAUAACACCUUAUAAUGAAGCGUGAACCUAUGUUUAUAUGAACUUUUAGUCAUAAAAUAAGCGCUAGAAUUAGCUUCCGUAAAUGUGUACGUCAUAUUUAGAAACACCCUAUAUAGAAACUAAUAACUAGAUUUAGUUAAUUUUAUUAAUUGAAUUAUUCUGCUAGUGCAAGCAUUCUUUUAUUUUACGAAGCACGAAAUAUACGAGUACAUUAUUUUAUAGGGUAUAGAUAAUCGUAUAACGGGUAGGUAGAGUUGGCGUUGCUUUCCUCAAACCCACCGCAUAAGCCGUCAGGGUUCAGGGUAAAAUAACAAAAUAAGAGUUUGAAAAUCCUCCACAGUGGUAGUUCGUUCUGGGUAAAAUGAUAUUCUUUACUUCGGUGCACACUUAUCAAGGGUACUCAAUUUCUAACUCAACUCUCCGUGUAUGAAACUGAGAAGAUACGGGGGAUUAAAAAGAGUACAAAUCAACUUAACAAAACUCCAAUCAAGAAUGAUCGAUUAAAUUGAUUACUUGAUCUUAAAACAAGCUUAUACAAAGAAAUUGAUGUUCCGAACACAAAUACGCACGUAUAGGCCAAAUGCAAGCAAAACAUAAAAAGGCAACGCUUACCUUAAUGUAACUUAGAUGUCAUCCAGAGAAGUGAGCUCAGUUCUCCGAUCCAUAAAGGUGAUCGCAUGUAAUCCGGAAGGGGCAAAAAUAGUUAUUGAUUAAUACGCUAAAAGGUUACGGAAGUUGUUUCUUGGUUGUGGAUCGAAUCUUGUUAUCAAAUCUGGUACAUGACCCCGUGACCCAAUUUCAGCAAAUAGCGGUUCCUUAGCAGAUGGAAUUCUGUCAAAAGGUGUUGGCGCGCGCGCCCCGGUGGUGAAUUUACUCCAAGGUUACCCGCAUGCGUAUAUAAAACGUAUCCGGAAUUAUACUUUCCUUAAAAUGUACAUACCUCUUUAAAUAUCCGAGUUAAUCGGGAAAAACAAUAUUGCGGAAUCCCCAAAUUGAAAUAAAUUUGAUGGCAGAGGGGAUCAAAACAAGCACUUUUUCCAAAUAAACCGA